rnacentral:rRNA from 1 species
UGGGGAAUAUUGCACAAUGGGCGCAAGCCUGAUGCAGCCAUGCCGCGUGUAUGAAGAAGGCCUUCGGGUUGUAAAGUACUUUCAGCGGGGAGGAAGGGAGUAAAGUUAAUACCUUUACUCAUUGACGUUACCCGCAGAAGAAGCACCGGCUAACUCCGUGCCAGCAGCCGCGGUAAUACGGAGGGUGUAAGCGUUAAUCGGAAUUACUGGGCGUAAAGCGCACGCAGGCGGUUUGUUAAGUCAGAUGUGAAAUCCCCGGGCUCAACCUGGGAACUGCAUCUGAUACUGGCAAGCUUGAGUCUCGUAGAGGGGGGUUAGAAUUCCAGGUGUAGCGGUGAAAUGCGUAGAGAUCGGGAGGAACACCAGUGGCGAAGGCGGCCUACUGGGCACCAACUGACGCUGAGGCUCGAAAGUAUGGGGUAGCAAACAGGAUUAGAUACCC